rnacentral:tRNA from 1 species
UCCCUGUUGGUGCAAUUGGCAGCACGCCUGGCCCUGGACCAGGAAGUCGGGGUUCGAGUCCUUGGCAGGGAG